rnacentral:piRNA from 1 species
UAGACUGUAUGACGUAUGGCUUGGUGU